rnacentral:rRNA from 1 species
UACGUAGGGGGCAAGCGUUGUUCGGAAUUACUGGGCGUAAAGGGCGCGUAGGCGGCACGGCAAGUCGGGAGUGAAAGGCCUGGGCUCAACCGAGGAACUGCUUUCGAGACUGCCGAGCUAGAGUGCGGAAGGGGCAACCGGAAUUCCCAGUGUAGCGGUGAAAUGCGUAGAUAUUGGGAAGAACACCUGAGGCGAAGGCGGGUUGCUGGGCCGACACUGACGCUGAGGCGCGAAAGCCAGGGGGAGCAAACGGGG